rnacentral:siRNA from 1 species
GGAUUGCUGCCAAACCUAACAGU